UACGAAGGGGGCUAGCGUUGUUCGGAAUUACUGGGCGUAAAGCGUGCGCAGGCGGCUUCUCAAGUCAGGGGUGAAAGCCCAGAGCUCAACUCUGGAAUUGCCUUUGAGACUGAGUGGCUUGAGUACGAGAGAGGUGAGUGGAAUUCCCAGUGUAGAGGUGAAAUUCGUAGAUAUCAGGAGGAACACCGAUGGCGAAGGCAGGUCUCUGGGCUGACACUGACGCUCAUGCACGAAAGCGUGGGGAGCAAACAGG
rnacentral:rRNA from 1 species